GCUCCAAACAACUCAGAGAAGCCAGAGAGACGUGAACAAGUAGACUUUCUUGACAACUUGUUUUUUGUUUUCCUUCCUCACGGUGCUUGCGUGGAAAACCUUAUGAGGAAACAACCUGCUUUGCUUUUUGUCAGUUUUCCAUCGGGACUGUCAUGUGGACAUACCUUAACAGAUGACAGCCUCUCUGCUGGUGCACUAAACAUGGCAAGACUCUCAGGCAGCGUCUCUGCAGAGGAUUCUGAUCAAAGUUGCUGCCGCGUAGAAGAGAAACUUCUGUGAAGAUGAACCCAGAAUCUCUGGACUCGUCCAUUCAGAGUGCCCUCUCAGCCCUCUACCCUCCUUUUGAAGCCACAGCACCCAUCAUCCUCAGCCAGCUCUUUCGCACCAUUGAGGAACGUUACCAUGGCGAUGCCUUGCAGUGCCUACUGGAUUUCCUCAUCCCUUCCAAACACCUGCUGGAAAGUGUACAGCAAGCUGCAUGUGCUGGAUACUCAGAUGUGGUUUUCCGCUGUGAAGGCUGGCCUCUCUGCCUCCAUGACAAAACAGUGGUCCAGUUAGCACCUGUUAACCCUUUGCUGCUGCGUCCUGGAGACUUUUAUCUCCAGGUGGAACCUUUUGGCGAUCAGGCUGCUCGGAUUGUCCUAAAAAGCCUUUUGGAAGUCGGAUGUCGGGAAGUGGAGGAGACUCCGAUUUCUGAGACGUCGUACUCGUGCAUCUUCACUGAAGACUGGCUGCGGGAAAUCAAUGACGGACGUCACGGGACCCCUCUGUCUCGCUGCUUACUUUGCACUGACCAAGGGGUAAUCAAGUUGCCAUGGGCAGAGGUGGCCAUACCAGAGUUUUUGGACAAGCCCAAGUUUAUGACCACUCAUCAGGAAGUUCCUCCUGAGCCAAAGCUAAUGUCAGUUCCGUGUACUUAUGGAGCAUCCACUCUCCCAUUGGAGGCACGGGUUCUUCAAUUAAAAGAUAAGACGUCAGCAUCUCUAAAACCUGGAGACUGUUCUUCCAAACUUGUCAAAUUACAACAUUACAAAGGAAUCCCCAGAUCCUAUUCUAAACCUCUAAUCAAACCUGUCGGUUGGGUGUCCCCUAAUUCCUGGGACAGCCGCAACCAUCCAGAAAUUGAAGGUGAUUAUGUUGACUUGGUAGAUGUUGCAAAAGGAACAGAUUUUGUGACGAAACAUGGAAGCCAUUCCGAUCCACCAAAUGCGGCCUUGGUCAAACCUGUCAGACCACCUCCAUCCGCACCAGUGGCGAACAAUGUUUUCUGUGGACGUACACUUCAGUAUGCAGAAGAGCCUUGUCUGCCAUGCAGACAGGGAAACCAGUCAGAAGAAGACAUCAGCUUCAAGUGCAGGUACAGAGAUUCUUAUCUGGCAGCGCAAACAAAUCCAGUGCCUUUUGAAAAAAGUAGCGUUGACCUUGCAGCUUUAGAAGAGGUCAGCCUUUCUGAAGAUUUGGACCAAAACAAUGAACUGGGACAAUUUUGUAUCCACUGUAAUACACCCAUGUCACGCCAGGACUUCUGCCAAUACAGACACAGCUAUGAGCCAACAACACAAAUAUCGGGCUGCACUCACAAAAACAUCCCCGCAACCCUCGACUCAGAGGAUAUUCUGAAGGAAUCACCCGUUAUUUUGACAUCAACACCUGGCUCAAGUUACAGUCAUAAAGUUCAGAUGAAAUUUCUUUCUCAGUCUGAGCACAUGGGGCAACCCAUGCUGCCUUGCAACACAUCUGAUGAUUGGGACAAGAACCCACACCAGAACGUGGAUGUCAUGAAAUCAUCAGCGAAACACAAAUCCAAGUCGAGGUCUUUGUCAACUGUCUCUGACACUCCUAAAGGUAGUCCACUUUUCUCCAAACACAACAACAGGAGCCACAGUGAUAUUUGCCCUGAGACAGUGAGCAGUGUGAUGCAGUGCAAGAAAGCUGAUCUGCCACAUCAAGUCCCUCCACAACUGGAAAGACUGAAAUCCUACAAAAAAGAUUCGCAACCCGGUGGAAGUGAACCACCCUCCACUUCAGAUGGUCUUGACAUGAGCCUCCAGGACUCAAAGACAGACGACAAAUCUUCCUCUGAGCUCCCCUCUGUCAGCUUUACGCUGCCUCAGUCUUUCCAAAGUCUAAAGUCCACUUUCAAAAGCAUCAGUGGCUUGCUUGAACUGGCUAUCAUUUAUUUACCAGGCAGUCGGGACAAGACUGGUCGAGCAGUGGUGGAGAUUCUCUGUGACAAGGAGUGCACCACACCUCCUUUGUCAGCACAGAAUCUCUGCCAGUUACUACUCUAUCUUCACUCCAUACCAAGGAAAGAUGUACGAGAGCUGGGAAUGACCUUGAUCAUCGAUGCCAGGAAGAAGCCUCCUCCGCCUCACCUCUACAAAGCUCUGCUCAUGGCGCAGGAGCAAGCACUUCAUGCAGUUCAUAGCAUAAUAAUGCUGGUGGACAAAGACACAUGUCCACGCCCUGAAAAGCAGCCAGGGCUGCAGAUGGACUUGGUGACGUCGAUGAAGUCCCUUUACAAGACAGUGGAUGCUUCCCAGUUGACAAAUGAGCUGGGAGGAACCUUUAGCUACUGCCAUAAGGAUUGGCUGCAGUUCCAUCAGAGACUGGUUUCUUUCAUAACUGACCUGCAAGAGGCUGACAGUUUGUUGCAGAAGGCUAUUACAAAAGUGAAUGAGAGCAAUGUCAUGGACACAGCCCAGGAAGUACACCAAUGCAUUCAGGAACAGAGGGAUUUAAUGAAGGAGGUGCUGGAGGACACUCGGUUGGUGACACUGCAGAGAGAGGGUGGGGCGGUAUUGGCCCGAAUGAGGAGGGAAGAGUUCCGGUUUCCACAGUCUGAAGACUACAGAGAUGCUCUGGAGUCAGUGACACAUUUGUACAACCAGGUGGAGGAGAAACUCCACAUGCUAGUGAUGAGAUCAAAUGAGUCAUUUCAGCAACUGGAGUUCCUUUUCGUGCUUAGAGACAUGGAUGCAAAAAUAAAAGAGUCUGCUGUGUGGUUCUGUGAGGAUGGUGAAAAUAGACUAAAGGAGUUUGACACAAAAGAUGAUAAUGUGUACACGGAAGAUAUCUUGCAGCGGUUUGACACGUUCUUCCUUCUUGCAAAGGGGAAACAGCAGUAUGCCUCAACUUUAGCGAAUGAAGCUGAAAAACAUGUGGGUACCAGUGUCUCCAGUCCAGUGACAGAUGUUUUUCUGACUCUCCUUAACACCUUCAAGCGCAAUGUAGAUGACUUUAUGGAACGUGUGCAGCAGAUGCACAAAGAACUUGAGACACUUGUGAAAGUGCAUCAUUUCUGUGACCAGGCAUCUGCUUUGGCCAAGGAAUGCAGUCAUUUUUUGGAUCAGGUAGAGUCGGGUUGUUACUUGCCUCAGACCACUCUCAGCACACUGCAGAUGUAUGAAGACAGAUUAGGUGAUGAAUUCUCCACCCGUCAUUUCCAGGCCUUGAAAUCUAAAGCCUGUUCUUUAAGGUCAGGGUCCUCGAGUGCAAUGAGCAUGUGGAAUGUGGCUUGGGCGCAUUGCCAGGAAGUCAAGCAACAUCUUGAGAAGAUGCAGAAGAAGAUGGUAUGCAGAGAUAAGAAGCAAAACCAACAGACCACAGCUGAAAGGACUCGUGGGGAAGCUGGAGAAAUGGAGAUUAAGCCUGACAUGAGGGAGGUUGAAUGGUCCCUGACCCUCCAACCAACCUAUCAGAAUUAUGUAGUUCAUAUGCCUGAAAAUGAACACACCACAGCUGCAUCAUCACCCUUGAAACGGAAUGGCGAAAUAGAACCUGAAGCUCUGGAGUUACUUCCACUCAGAAAUGGAGAAACUCCUACUCAUCCAGACAUAAAAUGGAAAUCAAGAGGGCAUCACAGUGAGGUUGACCUGAGUAGGACAGCUUUAGUUCAAGGUGAUGCUAACGUUCCACGGUAUCAAGUCUUGGGUCGGUCCAUGAGUGAGGGCUCAUGUAUAACCACUCAUGUGCCAUUUGCCAUUGGUGGUUCACCUUUUAAUGUAAGACAGCCACUCUGUCAGAGGAAUAAGCAGCUGUUGGAACAAAACUUGGAUCCUCUCCAAAAUCUCUCUGCUCCCCACAUUGAGAGGUUGAGCUUCAAAUCAAGAGAUGGGAAUGAAGAAUGUCCCACCAAAGAACAUACAGCCUCAACCCAAAUCUCAGAAGAUAUAAAGGAGACAUUAAUCAUAUCAAAAGAAAACAAUGGAAGCAAUAUUUUGAAACUGCGAAAGAUCAUGGAGGAGCUCCUUUCCACGGAAAGGGAAUACGUUAAUGCCCUGGGCUAUGUACGAGAACAUUACUUCCCUGAGUUAGAGAGAAAUGACGUACCGCAGGACCUCAGGGGCCAGAAGGGGAGUAUCUUUGGUAAUCUCGAAAAACUUCAUGACUUCCACCGUCAUCAUUUCCUGAGUGAGCUGGAGAACUGUGUGAAUGAACCCUUCAGGGUGGGACGCUCCUUUCUACGACAUAGAGAAAACUUUGCUUUGUAUGCCCUUUACAGCAAAAAUAAACCACAGUCUGAUAGUCUUCUCAUCAAUCAUGGAAAGACUUUCUUCAAGCAAAAACAGCUGAAUCUAAGGGACAAAAUGGACCUUUGGUCUUACUUACUGAAACCAGUGCAGCGGAUCAGUAAGUACAGCCUGCUGCUGCAAGACAUGAUGAGGGAGUGUGCACCAGGACAAGUCAGAGAGCUGGCUGAACUCAAAAAUGCCUUGGAGGUAAUUCACUUCCAGCUCAGACAUGGCAACAAUCUUCUGGCCAUGGACGCCAUCCACCAAUGUGAUGUUAAUCUCAAGGAGCAAGGACAGCUGAUUCGCCAAGAUGAGUUCUCUGUAACAUUCAGGAAGAAAAAAUGUUCCCGUCAUAUUUUCCUCUUUCAAGAGCUCAUCCUCUUCAGCAAAACCAGGAAGACUGAUGUGGGGAAUGAUACAUAUGUUUACAAACAAUCAUUCAAGACGUCAGAUGUUGGCAUGACCCAGAACACUGGCGACACCGGCCUUUGCUUUGAAAUUUGGUUCAGAAAGCGGAAAACCCAAGACACAUACACACUGCAAGCAGUUAGUCGAGAAGUGAAGGAGGCUUGGACUAAGGACCUGGAACGGAUCCUCUGGGAUCAGGCGCUACACAACCGAGAGGUCCGUAUGCAAGAGAGAGUGUUCAUGGGAAUUGGAAACAAGCCCUUCAUGGACAUCCAACCCAGUGACGCAGCUAUCAGUGACAGAGCUGUUGACUGUGGACUGAUGGCAAGAGAAAGCAAGGUGUUUCCCUAUGUUGCACCAAAUGGGCCACACAAUGGGCUACCUGAGGCACGACCAAAAUCUGCUGGUUCACGGAGUACUUCAUCCUCCUCCUCUUCCUCAGGACUGGGUUCCCUGCCCCCAACAGUAUAUUCCAGUGGGCCAAAGCGGAAGGAGUUAACAAGUGCCUUUGAAGGAUACAUAUCACCAGUAGGGGUUCUAGAGGAGGAUGACAUGGACCGUGAGAGUGGGAGUCACAACUUAUUGUUGGACAGCUCGGAGUCUUCUGGAGAUAGUGUCAGUGGUCUCAGCAGCUCAGCUCACAGUUGCCGCUCUGCACUAGAAAGGGAGGCUGAGGAUGCAUCUUCAGUCUGUACCGCCACCAUUGCUAUUGGAGAGGUGGCGGAGUCCAGUCAAACUGGAGCUUGUGAAUUCUCUGAGCAAUGCCAAGCAACAGUUCCACCUCGGGUCAAGAGCCCGCUCUCUCCCCAGGUUCGCUACCAAGCCUUGGGGUUCAACAAUCUUGGUUAAUUUUAACUUAAAUGGUGGCAAGUCCACCGAAGUUUGAACAAUUACUCAAGGUUUUGUGCCACGAUUUGAGUAUCCCCAAGAGGGCCAAGAUUUUUUGGUAGCAGUUGACAAUGCAAACAAUCACACUUUGUAUAAUAUUGUAUAGAUCGGUUUUCUUAUCGCAGUUUGAAAGAAAAGUCUAUUCAAAAUUGAUUACUUAUAAAAUAUACAGUUGACAGUCUUGUAUAGCCUGAAUGCAAACAGGAUUAUAACAAUAUUUAAUUAUCUGUUCUUUCUCAGUUAUUGCAAACUUAACAAUUGAUGAAUGUAGUUGAAUAAUAUGCAGACACAAAGCUCCAUCAGUGUCUCUAAAUAAGAGUUUGACGGUACUAUUAUGGUUACUAAGACAUGGCACUGUAAUAUUACAUAAUUAAUAGCUUUCUGUACAUAUGUAUCCAGCUUUAUGUAAACACAUUGUAUUUACAAGACUAACGUGUCACUGAUAUUAACAACUGUAUGACUUUCAAUUUGCCACAGUGACGUGUAUGUUUGGUUGAUACUGUAUUUUUACUUUUACCUCAUAUUUUUCUAAUAAUAAAUAAGAUUUACAAAUG